rnacentral:rRNA from 1 species
ACGAACGCUGGCGGCGUGCUUAACACAUGCAAGUCGAACGGUGAAGCGCCUUCCUUUUUGGUGGGUGUGGAUGAGUGGCGAACGGGUGAGUAACACGUGAGUAACCUGCCCCCUUCUUCUGGAUAACCGCAUGAAAGUGUGGCUAAUACGGGAUAUUCUGGGUCUGUCGCAUGAUGGGUCUGGGAAAGAUAUUGUUUCGGUGGGGGAUGGGCUCGCGGCCUAUCAGCUUGUUGGUGGGGUGAUGGCCUACCAAGGCGGUGACGGGUAGCCGGCCUGAGAGGGUGGACGGUCACACUGGGACUGAGACACGGCCCAGACUCCUACGGGAGGCAGCAGUGGGGAAUAUUGCACAAUGGGCGCAAGCCUGAUGCAGCGACGCCGCGUGAGGGAUGGAGGCCUUCGGUUUGUGAACCUCUUUCGCCAGUGAAGCAGGCCUGCCUCGUUUGUGGGUGGGUUGACGGUAGCUGGAUAAGAAGCGCCGGCUAACUACGUG